GCAGACCCUGACCAGCACUAAGCGCACGCGCGCACGCGCGCGUGCACGCACGCUGGCACACUUACUGCUGCAUAUCAUUUGUUUGCAGCUUUGCUUUACUCCGUUCUCUUUUGUUAUUUUUCGUGUCAGUGCUGCAGCGGAGCGAGGCGCUGCAAGAAAACCACUCUUUAAUAACUUUGGUACUUUUUAUCAGACACGUCAACAUUUCUGGACGUUCAGCUGAUGGAUUUAUAGCACAUGACGUAAAGUAGCGCAGCAUAUUUAGAACGGAAGCAUCUGGAGCCAAUACAGUUAAACGCCUGUGCCUGCGUGAGAUGAAGCCUUCCGCUGCGAGCGCUCACCGACGCCGUAGCUCACUUUGACGUGCGGACCUGUCUGCGCCACGUGGAGCGCAGAUAAUCCUGAAAACGCGACUGUAGCGGAGGCUGCGUGUGUGACAGAGCUAAAUCAGAACGGUGACAGGCCGGGACCUGCGGGAGCAGCCGGGUGACACACACCAACACGCCCUCUUGUGUCAGUAACCCACUAACGCUAUUAACGCAGGCAGAGGGCGCCUCUCGGCACAAAAUCCAAGAAAUGGGCUCAAAGAUGCGGGGAAAAACGCGCAACUCGUUGCUACACGUGUGCGAAGACGGACUCAUGUCAAACACCGCGUUCGUUCAAGGCACAGCUGAAUGUAAAUGAACAUAUUUGUAGCCUAUGCAUUAAUAACACAUGCAGAUGGUUGGUUCACUGGUUUUAGACAGGGACAAGAUGGUGAAUAAAUACACAACAGUGAGUUGGACCAAUGGACGGUAAGAUUUCAACAAAAUAGAAAGAAGUAGUGAAGGCAGCACAAUCGGGACGGAGAGGAUGUGAUGGAGCUACAGUGAAGGUGGCAGCAUCACACUGUGGAUGUGAUGAGCCUGAUGGAGCUAGACACCAGCAACUGCCUCACAGCUUUCACAAUAACAGGCACAGGCUUCAUCUGACCAGUGCUGACUUCAGAUGUAAUAUUGAAAAGCCCACAAACCCGCUCAAGAAAGAGACAAAACUAGAGAAGGGGAGGAAGAAGUUAACAGAAGACAAGCGAGGAGCUGAUCAGAGGAGGCUCCAGCUUCAGCUCUAUUCACCACGUAUCUGGAGAUGGUUUCAGUUAUGUAUCAGUAGAUGAUAGUUUAUAGUCUUCUCCUGGUUUUAUGGUCACAUUUUGUGUUUGUCCUGUCCAUUUAUUUCUUCCCACUGAGGAAGAACGCUGUGACUGAGCUGAAGCCACCAUCACUCAAACCUGUGUCUGAAUGGGAGCAGGUCACUUCAGACCGAUGCUGAGCAGUGCUGGAGCAGUGGAGGACGUUAGUGCAGCACAUUAAUGCCCACGGUUCAAACCGUGGAGGAGGAGAUCCUGCUCCUUCCUGCUCCAGGCCAAGUGUCCAGUGGUGCCAACACGCUGAAUAUGCUGGAAAACGCUGCGAACAAACCUUUUUCAUCUGUCCUAUGAAGACAAUCUUUUGUUCUGAAUCUGAUGUAGUGAUGCUCAACCAUCAGUGGAACACGAUGCAAGAGGUUCAGUUGCUUGACUUCAUCAUACAGUGUGUCCCACAGAUUUGUACUUGUAAAUCAUAGAAUGCACAUUUGUAGGUUUUUAUCAGAUCCAAGGCUUCAUUCAUGUUUUGCAGUGGAAUUUGCUAAAGAAAAGAUGCAGAAGUUUGUAUGUGACAAAAUGGCUUCAAUAUUAAAACACAACUUCCAACCACGCUGUAAAAUGCUUGUGCGGUGGGACCUUUAUUUCUAUAGCACCAAUAAAGUCAUCUUAAAGCUCACACAACAAAAACCCAACAAACCCCACAUAAAGCAAAGUAAAUCAAAUUACAAAUAAUA